AUUGAACGCUGGCGGCAUGCCUUACACAUGCAAGUCGAACGGUAACGGGCCUUCGGGUGCCGACGAGUGGCGAACGGGUGAGUAAUACAUCGGAACGUGCCCGAUCGUGGGGGAUAACGAGGCGAAAGCUUUGCUAAUACCGCAUACGAUCUACGGAUGAAAGCAGGGGACCGCAAGGCCUUGCGCGGACGGAGCGGCCGAUGGCAGAUUAGGUAGUUGGUGGGAUAAAAGCUUACCAAGCCGACGAUCUGUAGCUGGUCUGAGAAGAUGAUCAGCCACACUGGGACUGAGACACGGCCCAGACUCCUACGGGAGGCAGCAGUGGGGAAUUUUGGACAAUGGGCGCAAGCCUGAUCCAGCCAUGCCGCGUGCAGGAUGAAGGCCUUCGGGUUGUAAACUGCUUUUGUACGGAACGAAAAGCCUUCUUUUAAUGCAGGAGGGUCAUGACGGUACCGUAAGAAUAAGCACCGGCUAACUACGUG
rnacentral:rRNA from 1 species